rnacentral:rRNA from 1 species
AUUGAACGCUGGCGGCAGGCCUAACACAUGCAAGUCGAGCGGCAGCACUUCGGGUGGCGAGCGGCGAACGGGUGAGUAAUGCAUGGGAAUCUGCCUGAUAGUGGGGGGGAUAACUCUAGGAAACUAGAGGUAAUACCGCAUACGUCCUACGGGAGAAAGCGGGGGAUCUUCGGACCUCGCGCUAUCAGAGGAGCCCAUGUCCGAUUAGCUAGUUGGUGAGGUAAAGGCUCACCAAGGCGACGAUCGGUAACUGGUCUGAGAGGAUGGUCAGUCACACUGGAACUGAGACACGGUCCUUAGACUCCUACGGGAGGCAGCAGUGGGGAAUAUUGGACAAUGGGGGCAACCCUGAUCCAGCCAUGCCGCGUGUGUGAAGAAGGCCUCGGUU